rnacentral:rRNA from 1 species
UACGUAGGUGGCGAGCGUUGUUCGGAAUCACUGGGCGUAAAGCGCACGUAGGCGGCCAUAUAAGUCGGGUGUGAAAGCCCUCGGCUCAACCGAGGAACUGCGCCCGAUACUGCAUGGCUUGAGGUCCGGAGGGGAGAGUGGAAUUCCCGGUGGAGCGGUGAAAUGCGUAGAGAUCGGGAAGAACGCCGGCGGCGAAAGCGACGCUCUGGUCGGAAUCUGACGCUGAGGUGCGAAAGCUAGGGGAGCAAACGGG